rnacentral:rRNA from 1 species
AGGGGGGGCCCUACCAAUGCAAGUUCGAACGGCGCACAGCAGUAGCAAUACUGUGGGUGGCGAGUGGCGGACGGGUGAGGAAUGCGUCGGAAUCUGCCUUUUUGUGGGGGAUAACGUAGGGAAACUUACGCUAAUACCGCAUACGACCUACGGGUGAAAGUGGGGGACCGCAAGGCCUCACGCAGAAAGAUGAGCCGACGCCGGAUUAGCUAGUUGGCGGGGUAAAGGCCCACCAAGGCGACGAUCCGUAGCUGGUCUGAGAGGAUGAUCAGCCACACUGGGACUGAGACACGGCCCAGACUCCUACGGGAGGCAGCAGUGGGGAAUAUUGGACAAUGGGCGCAAGCCUGAUCCAGCCAUGCCGCGUGUGUGAAGAAGGCCUUCGGGUUGUAAAGCACUUUUGUCCGGAAAGAAAAGCUUGGGAUUAAUACUCUCGAGUCAUGACGGUACCGGAAGAAUAAGCACCGGCUAACUUCGUGCCAGCAGCCGCG